UACGAACAGAAAAGAGUUUUAUAUACAUUUGAGCAUAAAGCUGCCGUAAGGGUCUACAUUUUAUUUCGAUUAUUGUUCUCAUGAAACUUUUGGUGAAACCAUCCGAGAAACUGAUAUCCUUAGAAUUUGCUGCCAUAUUCAGGGCUACUGCAAAGCAAAACACAAUGCAGCUAGUUUUAAUGCUUUUGUGCUGUUUGAGCUGCUUUUGGGGGGCCACGCCCACAAAUGUAAACAGCAACUAUUGUAUAUAGUACAUAUAUUGCAUGUAAAAGCGUUGCCCAACACGGAGCAUAAAAUAAAAAUGCCGUGCAUCGGGACUUGCCAAAUAUUUUGCCAAGCCAAAUAAAUCCAUUUCAAUACCGUCGAGAGAGCGAGCGAGAGAGAGCGAGAGAGAGUCGAAAAAUAUAAAAUGUUAUAUUGAGUAACCGAAACCCGAUCCGAAUCGAUAUGAAUCGCUGCGUAUUUGAGAGUAUUAGUGGAUUAGGGAGUGCAGCGAACUCACAAAAGCGCCAGAACUAUGCGAAACCGCAUAAACAACAACGUAAAUAAAUCAAUGUAAACAAUCGAAACAGUUGUCGGUAAAAUUGAAAUUUGAAAUGCAACGCUGCAGUUGCCCGUUCCUCGUAUCUUUCGUGUUGGCAACCCUGCCCCCUUUUCUACCCUAUCUACAUAUGAAUUCUGGCAACAACUCAUGGGAAUAACAAUUUGAAAUGAAACACGAAAAUAUAACUCUGGCCCAAGACAAUAAGCGUUAAUUGACAAAUACCUCGACGUAGCUGCUGGCUAGUCGAGUAUGCAUUACACAACACUGGCAGCUGCCAAUGAUGCCAAGUCCAAGUCUCGCAAGGAAGCCUAACAGUAAAACUGAAGAGACUGUGUGUGAGUGUGUGUGUGUGAAGCUUCGAGUCGCACAGUGGACUUCAUAGUCUCUUUCGUGCUUAAAUUUAUAUUAAUUUGAAUACUCUAUAUAACUAUAGCUAAGUCUA